ACCAGAAAGCAAGUGUGAAAAAUCAGGACAGGGGAUGGUGGGUAAUUGGUGCCUACAUAAGACAAACCCCAAAUAGUGAAACUGUCCUUAUAAAAUCAGGACAUCUGGAUCUGGCCACCCCAG